rnacentral:rRNA from 1 species
GACAGAGGGUGCAAACGUUGUUCGGAAUUACUGGGCGUAAGGCGCGUGUAGGCGGCUUCGCAAGUCGGGUGUGAAAUCCCACGGCUCAACCGUGGAAGUGCAUUCGAGACUGCAAGGCUAGAGUCCUGGAGAGGAAGGUGGAAUGCUUGGUGUAGAGGUGAAAUUCGUAGAUAUCAAGCGGAACACCGGUGGCGAAGGCGACCUUCUGGACAGUGACUGACGCUGAGACGCGAAAGCGUGGGGAGCAAACAGG